AUUGAACGCUGGCGGCAGGCCUAACACAUGCAAGUCGAGCGGAGCGGCGGACGGGUGAGUAAUGCCUAGGAAUCUGCCUGGUAGUGGGGGAUAACGUCCGGUAACGGGCGCUAAUAUCGCAUACUCUUAGAUGAGUCCAGAUCGGAUUUGCUAGUUGGUGGGGUAAAGGCCUACCUAGGCGACGAUCCGUAGCUGGUCUGAGUGGAUGAUCAGUCACACUGGAACUAAGACACGGUCCAGACUCCUCCAGGAGGCAGCAAUAGCGAAUAUUGGACAAGAGGCACGAGCCUAGUCCAGCCAUGCCGCGUGUUUGAAGAAGGUCUUCGGAUUGUAAAGCACUUUAAGUUGGGAGGCGUUACCAACAGAAUAAGCACCGGCUAACUUCGUGCCAGCAGCCGCGGUAAUAC
rnacentral:rRNA from 1 species